CAAAUACUUCCUCCGUUCCGAAUUACUUGUCGCAAGUAUGGAUGUAUCUAGAUGUAUUUUAGUUUUAGAUAUAUCCAUUUCUAUGACGAGUAAUUUGGAACGGAGGGAGUAAUAC
rnacentral:pre_miRNA from 1 species